rnacentral:rRNA from 1 species
AUUGAACGCUGGCGGCAGGCCUAACACAUGCAAGUCGAGCGGAUGAAGGGAGCUUGCUCCUGGAUUCAGCGGCGGACGGGUGAGUAAUGCCUAGGAAUCUGCCUGGUAGUGGGGGAUAACGUCCGGAAACGGGCGCUAAUACCGCAUACGUCCUGAGGGAGAAAGUGGGGGAUCUUCGAACCUCACGCUUUCAGAUGAGCCUAGGUCGGAUUAGCUAGUUGGUGGGGUAAAGGCCUACCAAGGCGACGAUCCGUAACUGGUCUGAGAGGAUGAUCAGUCACACUGGAACUGAGACACGGUCCAGACUCCUACGGGAGGCAGCAGUGGGGAAUAUUGGACAAUGGGCGAAAGCCUGAUCCAGCCAUGCCGCGUGUGUGAAGAAGGUCUUCGGAUUGUAAAGCACUUUAAGUUGGGAGGAAGGGCAGUAAGUUAAUACCUUGCUGUUUUGACGUUACCAACAGAAUAAGCACCGGCUAACUUCGUG